rnacentral:tRNA from 1 species
GGGGUCGUAGCUCAAAUGGUAGAGCGCCCGCUUAGCAUGCGAUGCUGAGCGCCGCAGAUGAUGUGCGGGAGGUAGGGUAGGGGGAUCGAUGCCCUCCGACUCCA